rnacentral:rRNA from 1 species
AGAGUUUGAUCAUGGCUCAGAUUGAACGCUGGCGGCAUGCCUUACACAUGCAAGUCGAACGGCAGCACGGGAGCUUGCUCCUGGUGGCGAGUGGCGAACGGGUGAGUAAUACAUCGGAACGUACCCUGAAGUGGGGGAUAACGUAGCGAAAGUUACGCUAAUACCGCAUAUUCUGUGAGCAGGAAAGAGGGGGAUCGCAAGACCUCUUGCUUUAGGAGCGGCCGAUGUCGGAUUAGCUAGUUGGUGAGGUAAAGGCUCACCAAGGCGACGAUCCGUAGCGGGUCUGAAAGGAUGAUCCGCCACACUGGGACUGAGACACGGCCCAGACUCCUACGGGAGGCAGCAGUGGGGAAUUUUGGACAAUGGGCGCAAGCCUGAUCCAGCCAUGCCGCGUGAGUGAAGAAGGCCUUCGGGUUGUAAAGCUCUUUCGGUGGGGAAGAAAUUGCUUCGGUUAAUACCUGGAGUAGAUGACGGUACCCGCAUAAGAAGCACCGGCUAACUACGUG